GACGAACGCUGGCGGCGUGCUUAACACAUGCAAGUCGAACGGAAAGGCCCUGCUUUUGUGGGUUGCUCGAGUGGCGAACGGGUGAGUAACACGUGAGUAACCUGCCCUUGACUUUGGGAUAACUUCAGGAAACUGGGGCUAAUACCGGAUAGGAGCUCCUGCUGCAUGGUGGGGGUUGGAAAGUUUCGGCGGUUGGGGAUGGACUCGCGGCUUAUCAGCUUGUUGGUGGGGUAGUGGCUUACCAAGGGUUUGACGGGUAGCCGGCCUGAGAGGGUGACCGGCGACAUUGGGACUGAGAUACGGACCAGACGCCUACGGGAGGCAGCAGUGGGGAAUAUGGCACAAUGGGCGGAAGCCUGAUGCAGCAGCGCCGCGUGCGGGAUGACGGCCUUCGGGUUGUAAACCGCUGUCGCAGGUGACGAAGCGUGAGUGACGGUAAUGGGUAAAGAAGCACCGGCUAACUACGUG
rnacentral:rRNA from 1 species